rnacentral:rRNA from 1 species
UACGGGGGGGGCAAGCGUUGUUCGGAAUUACUGGGCGUAAAGCGCGUGUAGGCGGCUCUUCAAGUCGAGUGUGAAAGCUCCAGGCUUAACCUGGGAAUUGCGCUCGAUACUGUUGAGCUAGAGUGUGGAAGGGGCUACUGGAAUUCCGUGUGUAGCGGUGAAAUGCGUAGAUAUACGGAGGAACACCUGCGGCGAAAUCGGCUACCUGGACGAGGACUGACGCUGAGAUGCGAAAGCGUGGGGAGCAAACAGG